GUGAAUCAUCAAAUCUUUGAACGCAUAUUGCACUCUUUGGUAUUCCGGAGAGUAUGCCUGUUUGAGGGUAAUUAAAAAGUAUCUUUAACCAAUUUUUUUGGUCAAAGGAUAUGAGGUCUCUGCGUUUAUAGCGGUAGCUUGAACUAAAUGGUCAAGUAUUAUUGUAGUCGAGACGCGUAAUAGUAUUAUUUUGCGAAAUUUUCAUUUUGUGACUAUUAAGUUUUGAUGUAUACAAAUUUGGUUUGUAUGAGAUAAAUACAAAUAUUUUGAACAUUACCUCAAAUCAGG
rnacentral:misc_RNA from 1 species